rnacentral:rRNA from 1 species
GACGAACGCUGGCGGCGUGCUUAACACAUGCAAGUCGAACGGAGCGAAUGAAAGCUUGCUUUUAUGAGCUUAGUGGCAAACGGGUGAGUAACACGUAGACAACCUGCCGACAGGAUGGGGACAACAUUCCGAAAGGAAUGCUAAUACCGAAUGAAGCGGAUGGGAGGCAUCUCCUAUCCGUGAAAGAUGGCCUCUGAACAUGCUAUCACCUGUCGAUGGGUCUGCGUCUGAUUAGCUGGUUGGUGAGGUAACGGCUCACCAAGGCGACGAUCAGUAGCCGGUCUGAGAGGAUGAACGGCCACAUUGGGACUGAGACACGGCCCAGACUCCUACGGGAGGCAGCAGUGGGGAAUCUUCCGCAAUGGGCGCAAGCCUGACGGAGCAACGCCGCGUGAGUGAAGAAGGUCUUCGGAUCGUAAAGCUCUGUUGACGGGGACGAACGUGCGAGAGGUGAAUAAACUCUUGCAAUGACGGUACC